GCGAACGCUGGCGGCAGGCUUAACACAUGCAAGUCGAGCGCCCCGCAAGGGGAGCGGCAGACGGGUGAGUAACGCGUGGGAACGUGCCCUUUAGUUCGGAAUAACUCAGGGAAACUUGAGCUAAUACCGGAUAAGCCCUUCGGGGGAAAGAUUUAUCGCCAUUGGAGCGGCCCGCGUCUGAUUAGCUAGUUGGUGAGGUAAUGGCUCACCAAGGCGACGAUCAGUAGCUGGUCUGAGAGGAUGAUCAGCAUCACUGGGACUGAGACACGGCCCAGACUCCUACGGGAGGCAGCAGUGGGGAAUAUUGGACAAUGGGCGCAAGCCUGAUCCAGCCAUGCCGCGUGGAUGAUGAAGGCCUUAGGGUUGUAAAGUCCUUUUAACGGGGAAGAUAAUGACGGUACCCGUAGAAUAAGCCCCGGCUAACUUCGU
rnacentral:rRNA from 1 species